CUCAAGCCCUAACUCGUUCUCUAUCAAAUUGAAUCUGCUUCCCUGCGACGAGUUUAUUCCAUCCCUCACAUCCUCAAUCUCAUAUACUCUUUCCUCCUCCUGCUUAUCAUCCUCCUUGUUCCUGAUAAUCUUCUCUCUAUCACCCACCAUAUUAUUUCAUCAGCUCCAAUUCUCAAUGCCGAUUAUUACUUGUACAUAUCCAUAAAAGAUUUAAAUAGAUUAAAGUGUUGCAGUAACGAGAGAGUUCCAAGGAAAUCGAAUCCGUCAAAUUAAAACUGAGAAGAGAAAGAAAGCCGCAAGUUGAUGAGAAGGGUAACCGUAAGAUAAAUACUUUAUGGGAAAGAAAGAGAGACAGCAAAUGUUUUAGUCUGAUUCCUUAAUGAAAGAAUCACGAGAAAAAAAUGAGAGUAAAGAUAUUGACGAUUGCCGUUGAAAAGAAAGAGAAACUUGGGUGCCAGAG
rnacentral:misc_RNA from 1 species